AUGCCGCUGACGGACAAAAAACCAACUAAAGGUGAUCUCCAGCCGAUCUGCGACAAGAUCAUUGGCAGGAUGAAGGGAUGGAAACUUGCUCUGCUUUCCAUGGAUGGCAGACUGGACCUGGUCAGAACUGUGCUCUCAGCGAUGCCAAUUUUUCAGAUGAUAGCCAUUCACAUGCCGGCGUGGCUAGCCAAGUUGAUCGACAGAGUUCGUCGCGGAUUCCUAUGGGAGGGCAACGAGGUGGCCUCAGGCGGGAAGUGCUUAGUCAACUGGAAGAUUGUAUGCAGACCAAAAGAAUUCGGCGGCCUCGGCAUCACAAAUUUGUCAGCCCAGAGCUUGGCGUUGCGGACGAGAUGGCUCUGGCAAUCUUGGAACGAGACCAACAAACCAUGGCAAGGGCUUGAUCUACCAAUAGACCCCAAAGUGAAAGCACUUUUCAAUGCAUCAGUUGAUUUUUUUUCCUAG
rnacentral:rRNA from 1 species